rnacentral:rRNA from 1 species
AUUGAACGCUGGCGGCAGGCCUAACACAUGCAAGUCGAGCGAGCGGCGGACGGGUGAGCAAUGUAUGGGGAUCUGCCCGAUAGAGGGGGAUAACUAAGGGAAACGGUAGCUAAUACCGCGUACCAUAGGAUGAGGCCAAGUGGGAUUAGGUAGUUGGUGAGGGAAAGGCUCACCAAGCCGACGAUCUAUAGCUGGUCUGAGAGGAUGACCAGCCACACUGGGACUGAGACACGGCCCAGACUCCUACGGGAGGCAGCAGUGGGGAAUAUUGGGCAAUGGGGGAAACCUGACCCAGCCAUGCCGCGUGAAUGAAGAAGGCCUUCGGUUUGUAAAGUUCUUUCGGUAGCGAGGCGUUAACUAACGAAGAAGCACCGGCUAACUCCGUGCCAGCAGCCGCGGUAAUUC